CACUUACCCUCAUGUUUCAGUUUUAAUAUCUAUGCAUGAGCCAAAGACUUAACUCCCCUUGUUGGUAUUAUCCUUGUGUUUAUUUUUCUCUUUCUGUCUAACUUCUUUUCUUCUUUCUCCGUAGGCCUCAACGCUUCAUCGGGAAUCAUUUUCUCGGUCUCGAGCUGAGCUGAAUCGGUAUGAGGCCGACUUCCGAGGGCUCACGGAGGAGAGAAAUUCCCUUAGACUUCUCUGUGGGCAAAAAGAAGAGGAGACCAAGGAUCUUCGAGCCGUGUUAGCCAAGGCUCACCAAGAUCAGACCGACCGGAUCGAGCAGCUGUAGCAGAAGGUCGAGAGGAUCUAGCAGCUCCGCGAGGAGGUCAAUUUGAUAAAGGCGGAGACCUUGGGGUGGAAAGAAGGCAUGUACCGCUUUACUGCAGAAAAAGAGAUUGCUUUAUCCCAAUUGUCAUCGACCGAAAGUCAGCUUCGAGGCAUGAAGGAGAAAAUCUCGGCUGAGGAAAAGAAAAUAGGGGAGCUCGAACUCGGUUGGCUUCCGAACUUGCAAAGGCCAAAUAUGAAGCUGAAUAGGCUAAAGCCGAGGCAAAUGCGAUCGUGACUGUCUACCGGGCCGAUGCUGAAGCCGCUCAAGUCCAAGCGAGAGAGGCAGCUGAGACCGCUCAAACUCGAGCAUAUUGGAUUAUUGAACUCGCCAAAUACCAAUCUCGGAGGGAAACCCUCGAGGAGAUCCACAUUCGAGGUUUCGAUCUUACCAACGAGAUAAUAAAGGCUAGAGAGCAUGAAGCUGAUGCUGGAGCGCUGGCCUCCGAUGAUGAUGACGACGCCGAGAGCAAGAGCAGGUCCGAGAGAGGGAAGGACCUCGAUGGAGAAGAAGCCGCCCCCGGAGAAAAUUAGGAACCUUAGGAUUUUUCACUUUUGAUCUUUUGUGUAGGAUUCUGAUCGGACCUUGUAAAUAUUCUCAUAUAUAUAAACAUCUCUUUCCUUUC